AUGUUGGAGAAUUGUCAAAUGUGGUAUGAAAUUAAAUAAUCAUCUUGUUAACAAAAUAUGCCAUAUAACAAUAGUUUCAAACUGCAGCCUGGCUAUUCACAAUGGACCUUUACAUAGAAAGCAACUUUGAUCCAUAAACAGGAUAAAACCUGACAAAACAGACAUCAUGUGCUUUCUUAAACAAC